rnacentral:tRNA from 1 species
GGUUGUAGCUCAGUGGUAGAGCACUUGCCUCGAAAGCUUGAGACCCUGGAUUCAAUCCUCAGCCCCA